rnacentral:rRNA from 1 species
UCGGGAAUUUUGGGCAAUGGGCGAAAGCCUGACCCGGCAACGCCGCGUGAAGGAUGAAGUAUUUCGGUAUGUAAACUUCGUAAGAAUAGGAAGAAUAAAUGACGGUACUAUUUGUAAGGUCCGGCUAACUACGUGCCAGCAGCCGCGGUAAUACGUAGGGACCAAGCGUUGUUCGGAUUUACUGGGCGUAAAGGGCGCGUAGGCGGUGUGUCAAGUCAGUUGUGAAAUCUCCGAGCUUAACUCGGAACGGUCAACUGAUACUGUCACACUAGAGUACAGAAGGGGCAAUCGGAAUUCUUGGUGUAGCGGUGAAAUGCGUAGAUAUCAAGAGGAACACCUGAGGUGAAGACGGGUUGCUGGGCUGACACUGACGCUGAGGCGCGAAAGCCAGGGGAGCAAACGGGAUUAGAUACCCAGGUAGUCCCUGAGCGGGCUGGCAAGGCGCAU